rnacentral:rRNA from 1 species
AUACGGAGGGUGCAAGCGUUACUCGGAAUCACUGGGCGUAAAGCGCAUGCAGGCGGUCUAAUAAGUUGGAAGUGAAAGCCUAUGGCUCAACCAUAGAACUGCUUCCAAAACUGUUAGACUAGAGUCUGGGAGGGGAAGAUGGAAUUAGUAGUGUAGGGGUAAAAUCCGUAGAGAUUACUAGGAAUACCAAAAGCGAAGGCGAUCUUCUGGAACAGUACUGACGCUGAGAUGCGAAAGCGUGGGGAGCAAACAGGAUUAGAAACCCCGGUAGUCC